GAUGAACGCUGGCGGCGUGCCUAAUACAUGCAAGUCGAGCGAACAGACGAGGAGCUUGCUCCUCUGACGUUAGCGGCGGACGGGUGAGUAACACGUGGAUAACCUACCUAUAAGACUGGGAUAACUUCGGGAAACCGGAGCUAAUACCGGAUAAUAUAUUGAACCGCAUGGUUCAAUAGUGAAAGACGGUUUUGCUGUCACUUAUAGAUGGAUCCGCGCCGCAUUAGCUAGUUGGUAAGGUAACGGCUUACCAAGGCAACGAUGCGUAGCCGACCUGAGAGGGUGAUCGGCCACACUGGAACUGAGACGCGGUCCAGACUCCUACGGGAGGCAGCAGUAGGGAAUCGUCCGCAAUGGGCGAAAGCCUGACGGAGCAACGCCGCGUGAGUGAUGAAGGUCUUCGGAUCGUAAAACUCUGUUAUUAGGGAAGAACAAAUGUGUAAGUAACUAUGCACGUCUUGACGGUACCGAAUCAGAAAGCCACGGCUAACUACGU
rnacentral:rRNA from 1 species